rnacentral:lncRNA from 10 species
GCCAGGGUCAAGAACCACUGCCUUGACCCUUGAACAAAAGUGUCAGCCAAGGCUGGAUCCCUCCAUUGCAUUAUGGCUUGGAGAAUGUUAACAGACUGAUUUACUCCUGCCCAGGGGAGAGUCAGAAACUCUGUGUUUAAACAAGAGUUCCAGAAGGAUGGAUGCAGUGAAAUUCUUCUAUGCCAGGGAUGCUCUUGCUCUUUCCUGGACAAUUAGAUGUUGCUCACAGGUAGGUAUUGGA